GGUGCCUGUACAAGAAAGAACAAAUGGUCGAAAGAAAACCUAAUGAGAACUUUGAUUUGAAAUCAGUUGAAUCAAAGCAUGUGCUCCAAAAAAAAACCACUCUGAGCUUCCCUUUUGAAAUCAAUUGAAAGAAACAGACUCAAUCUCGAUCAAUUUUGUCCUAUGGUUUCGAUUCCCUUAUUGAUCUAAUCCGUUUUACCAUUGAUUUUGUGUUAUCUUUACGACCAGGGGCAAUCGAAAGGUUCAAUUUCUUCUCCUUCUUCUUUCGAACGUAGCUCUGGUGACAUAUUAAUCUAUCUAACCUUAAUUAUGGAUCUUGUUGGCAUUGAUGUCUUCUGCAAUGCGAAGAAGGUUAUUGAUGCUCUUCAAAGCAGGGGCGUAGCUCUGGAUUUAGCUUGGUGUGCAGAGAACAAAACGAGCUUGAAGAAAUCAAAGUGAUUUUUCAGAAACCAUAAGUAUGCAAUUAGAUUGGAUAUUCUCGUAUCCAGGAUUUUGGACGAUAUUCUUUGGGAAAUACUGCUAAAUGACUGUUGUUAGUCUAGGUCCAUAGAUUCUUUAAGAAUCCGUUUUUACUGUUUUGUAUAUUCCUUCCGACCUCUGAUUUAAAUGGUCAUUCUACACUUAAAAGUGGGGAUACUGGAUACAAAUGCUACAUCAUGUUAGUUUGGUUAAGCUUAACAAUGGGGCUAGUUUGAUGUUAAGCUUUAUUGAGGUUAGUAUAGUGGCGAUACCAGAUACAUGGCUAAUUUAAUCGUUCCAUGGCUCCUGGGGUAAGCUUUGUCUGUUUUGCAACCUACUCCGAGUCCUUGGGAUAUCGGCAACUCAAACAUUGGAAAGUUUCAUAUAAAGAAGACUUAAAACUAAGCGAAUAGAAACAAAUAAAAUAAAAAAAAGACUACCUUCGUGUGAAUGUCAAAAAUAGAGUUAACAAGUAGUCGAAAGCCUACCCCAUAUCCUGCUGAGAUCAGUACCAUUGCCACUCUCCAACUCCGAGAUCACACCCUCCGCCUCUUUCUGAUAUUAAAAAGAAAAUCAUGGUUCGCUGCUAUGCUUGCUUCAACAAAUGCUAAUGUAAUUUAGGGGACUUAGGAUUUUUUUGUUUAGAGAAGGAACAGAAUGAUACAGCAUGUUAGUUUGGUUAAGGUUAGCAAUGGGGCUAGUUCGAUGGUAAGCUUUCUUGAGGUUAAUAUGGGUUCUGCAUUUUUACUUGUUGCAUUGGAAAAUGUGGCAAUCUGAAACAUGUCAAGUUGCGUGAGGAUCUUCUCCAUCGGUGCUACUUGCUAAACAGUGAACCUUCCAUAGACUUUGAUGCCAACAUCCUCAUCUUGCAAUAUUAUGACUAAAAAUUGUCUGCACUUACAAUACGUUCAAUUCUUAUCCAUCAAAACCAAAAGAAUCAAAAAAAUCAAGAGUAACAGGAGCUGAUGCUUAGUAAAUUUGGUUCCAGUUCAUGGGCAAUGUACGAGCUGUCUUUCUCUUAAAUGGAAUUAUCCAUUGGACAUAUUAUACAGGAGUUAUGGUCUUUUUCUGAUAAUAUACACUUUGACAUGAGACCAUAAUUAAUGUACACUUAAGCUACCUUGAACCACUUUGACAUGAGACCAUAAUUCAGAUGUGCUUCCGUUGAACCAAUAUUAGUUUGCACAGCCAUCUAUAAUCAAAUAAGCUACCUAUUACGUGUUAUGUAUGUUAAAAACAAAUAACAGCCAUCUACAAUCAAACUUCGGUCAACAGUUACGGUCAAAUUCGUGUGAGCCGUUAAAUCUAAUGUUGAGAACAGAUGAACGGCUACAAUGUAACCCUAAUCUGUACGGGAUACAUCUCAAAACCUUAUAAGUAGAAUAGUUGCCCUUUUUAUUCUCAGCCGCCUACUAAUGUACAACUCUCUCUGUCCACACAAUGAUUUUCCUCUCAAAAAAUUAUCAUAUUUUCUAGGUCAACUUUUAUCAUAUUUUUAGAUUCUCUUCUAGUGAUGAUGCCAACUUCAGUUACAGAUGGACGACAGGGUCUCCUAUAUAUGUGAGAGAACAAUGACAAACUGGUUGAUUUGAAUUGAGCGAGGAGGAAUAUGUUAACGGACAGCCUCUUUUAUCAUAAAUAAAAUGCCACUACAUAUCUGCUGGUUUUGAAGAUU